ACUAUAGCUAUAGUUUCUCUUCUCCACCGUCAUCAUCAACCGAUUAAUCAAUCUCAAAAAAUGUUAAGCUCUCAGAUUCAGAAGCUAAAUUCAACCAAACCCUUUUCUCUUUUGCCACCAAAACCUUCUCUUUCUAGCCAUGGAAACACAUCUUCCUUCCCUAUUUGUUAUAAGCAGCAGAAACGUUUAUUCCCUAAGAAAAACCCAAGCCUUAU
rnacentral:misc_RNA from 1 species